CCUACGGGGGGCAGCAGUGGGGAAUAUUGGGCAAUGGGCGCAAGCCUGACCCAGCAACGCCGCGUGAAGGAAGAAGGCUCUCGGGUUGUAAACUUCUUUUAUCAGGGACGAAGCAAGUGACGGUACCUGAUGAAUAAGCCACGGCUAACUACGUGCCAGCAGCCGCGGUAAUACGUAGGUGGCAAGCGUUAUCCGGAUUUACUGGGUGUAAAGGGCGUGUAGGCGGGAAAGCAAGUCAGAUGUGAAAACCAUGGGCUCAACCUGUGGCGUGCAUUUGAAACUGUGUUGCUUGAGUACUGGAGAGGCAGACGGAAUUCCUAGUGUAGCGGUGAAAUGCGUAGAUAUUAGGAAGAACACCAGUGGCGAAGGCGGUCUGCUGGACAGCAACUGACGCUGAGGCGCGAAAGCGUGGGGAGCAAACAGGAUUAGAUACCCGUGUAGUC
rnacentral:rRNA from 1 species